CCCUGCUCAUGGGAGGGAGGCUGACUGGGCGGUCCAGCACAGAGGUUCCGCCCUCCUACUAUCGGCGGGGUUCGCAGGCUCCUAUAGGCAAAAGUUGCAAAUCUUUCAUCAUAACUGCUGAGAUUUGCUACAAAGAGAACUACAUAAUUUCUAGAGUCAAGAUUCAAAUUUAUCACGUUCAAAGAAAAUUUGUUAUUAAAGAACAUAUUGUAUAUGUCACAAUAUACAAUAUCUACCGUCUGCGUGAGAUGAUGGGCUGUCAGGACUUUUGAGACUUUCUUUUAAACCGUGCCAUGGACUGCUCUUUAUCAGAUUACGGUAUUGCUUUGCACUGUUGAAACUAUGUGUUAUAAUUAUGUGGUCUCUGUCAGUCUUUUAUCAAUUAUGGUGUUGUCUGCACUGUUGAAACUAUAUGUUAAAUAUACUUAUAUGUAAUCGAUGUGGUUUUGUGUAGGUCUUGUAGCUUUAGGUUUGUAUGAUGGGUUUGUAGUUCCCUUCCGGGGAACGUGCUAAGACGGUAGCGCGAUAUCGAUAUGCAGCAGCCUCUCCGGACUCUGGAUUGGGGACUACCAAAGGUUAUGUGGUUUUUCUUGUGUGGUCUGUUUUGUGCUUUUUUGUGAUAUCAUUCUGGAGAACAUUGUCUCAUUUUUUAACUGCAUUGUAUUUGUGGUUUCUAAAUGACAAUAAACUGAAUUUGAAUCUGAA